UAUAUACAGUAUGUGCGUGAGUUUUUAAUUUAAAAUGUCUUAACUUAACUCGGAAGGAUCUGAAUCACAGGUCAUUUCAUCUGAGAUCAUUCCGCAUGUAACAGCUGGAAUCACUCACUGUUUCCCACAACGACACAAGUCAUCAGCCGUUUCCUCAAGGUCACGUCAGGUAAGUGUUUGUAAAUAAAUGUUAAUUUUAGACUAUAUUAAUUGGCAAAGACGCAAAUACUCGACGUUUUUGUAAACAUAUAAGUUAUAUAAAGGUGUGUUAUGUUAUGUGACCGACUUAAACUGUGUGUUAUGUUAUGUGUCCGAGUUAAAGUGGAGUUAUUUUAGUUAAGAUAAUACCGGACAGGGUUUAGGACUCCGUCUUAAUUAUAAUUGGGACAUUUUUACAAACAAAUCUUAUAAAAUACAAUACUGGCGUGCAUUUUGAGACAAAACAAUAGCACUCAUAUGUUAAGAGAUGUCAGUAUUUUAGUCAGUGAUAAGUCCUGUCCGAGAAAACCGCCCAAUAGUGUUUAAUUCAAUUACGUGUGAUGUCUGAGGGAAAUUUGGCAAUUUUAGGGUAUAAAAUCUUUCACCGUCAAGCUUUAUUAUAUUAAACAUGUUAUUUAUGUAUGUGUGUGUGUUUAUAUUCCUCUGUUUAUUAAACCAGAGCGGUGGUUAUGUGGAGAGGCAGACCAAGACCACCACCAUACGCGAAGAUGAGCCUCGAGGCGUGACAGUUAUUUUUUUAAACUGAGGAGUUCGGACUCCGGACCGGCAUUUUUGCUUGUUUGUACCCUGAGAUAACCAUGGUUAAUAAAUGGUCAGACACGUCACUGGCUUUAAAAUAUAAACCCCAUUGAUGCAAAAAGAUGCUGCAUGGAAUGACAAUGUGGUUACAGACUUGGUGAAGAACAUGGAAACAUCUCUUAAUAAAAUGGCCCCAAACAUCAUCAGGAGUGCAAAAGAAGGAAGUAAAAAACAUCUAUAUGCCAAUCUCAUUGGAGAGGAAACCACAGAAGGUCUGGUGAGGAAUGCUGCACUUAUGUUAUUGCAAGCAUUAUUUCAAGAAAAUCCCAGCUUCCUUGACUGUGUAAAUAGUCAUACAGCUCCACAUCAAUUAUUAUGAGUCUUGUUGGUUCGAACCCAAAGGUCCCACACCAACCAUAGUGUUCAACGGCUCUCCUGAUCUUCUCAAAUCUGAAAGUAUCAACUUUAUAAUGGACAAUGUGAACUUAAUAUGUGGAAGACAUUGACAUCACAGGCUGUGGAAUGACUGUGUCACAGGUCGGAGAAGCGGACCAGAGAAGCGGACCGCCCCUGUCUCGAGGAGGUCCCAAAGCACCCCAAUGACCAGACAAACCAGAGAUAAGUAAAAUAUAGAAAUAGAAGCUUUAUUUAAAUUAUUUAAAACUAAAGUGGGGAAUGGGAAAGGGAAUCUAAAAAUCUCGCUUCUCGUCCUCAGGGGGAGUAUUACGGGGCCAGGGACGUUGGAGGGGUUUCCACGUGACUCCAGCUGGAACACCGCUACAGAGCGUAUCUGGGUGGGUUGGGCACACACCGUCGCGGCGGCCCCUGAUGGCAUCCACAAAGGUCCAAGACCCUCCUAAGCUCCUAGCCGUAGCAGAACUACGUAUUUCAGCACCCGAAGGACUAACAACCCAGCCGGCAUCUGCAGCAUAUAUCCAACGCGAUCAAACUUCACUCUGACAAGUAACUUCCUAUACACAACCACGCCGUCCUUUCGCCCGGACCAGCCUCGCACUCUUUCCGCCCGCUACCUAGCGGUCGCCGGAUCAGCAGAGCCUGUGGACUCUUCGGAGGCUGGUCUUCGUUGUGCUGCCCAAGGCGGAAGUUGACUCGCACGAAAAUCGACCCUUCCGGUAACUUCUACCUUCUCUCUUUAUAUCCUCCUCCAUGGCGUGGCUCGCCCAACCAUCGCUCGCCACGUCACUCACACAGCUGUGCCUUGUUUCAGCAAGUGCCGGUGUCUGUAAAAACCGGUCCGGGUGGAGCCUCUUCACUCUCCUUUUGGUUCCGCCCCGCAUAGUCACUCCGUGACAACUGUUUGCGUUUUUUUUUCUCCUCAAUGUUCAAUACCCUUUUGCCAUUAAGCAUACAGUGACUUUAAUUUAUAAAAUAUAUGCUUAAGUUUUAAUACCUGUACAAAACAAAUGUACAAUCAACUUGUGUAAAUUUUAAUAAAAAUUUAAGCUUUAAUUGCUUGUUCAUGUUAGUUCAGAGUGCAUUAACUAAUGUUAACAAGAUUUUAAUAAAGUAAUUGUUGAAAUUAACAUUAACAAAGAUUAAUAAAGGCUGUAUAAGUGCAGUUCAUUAUUAGUUCAUGUUAACUAAUGUAGCUAACUAAUGUUAACUAAUGAACCUUAUUGUAAAGUGUUACCGUGAUUUCUUUUCAUCAUUUCAGACACAUGUAAAAGUUACUAAAAAUUAGUACUGCAUAUACUGUACAGUAUCUAUGCGUAAGGGAAAUAACUUGAACAAAAUUUUUAAUGUAUAGUGUAAUUAAGAGUUGCUGUUUAAUACAGAGAUGCAAUUUAUUUAUAUAUAUUAUUUAGAUAUAAACGUAUGUAUGUUUAUUAAAAAGUGAAAAUGCUUAAUGGAAAUAAUUAAAUAACUAAAUGGUUGAAUGUAAUGAGACAUUUUAAAUGUAAACUAAAGUUUUGCUGUCUAAUACAGAAUAAAGAGAUGUGAUUUUAA